AGCAGCCGCGGUAAUUCCAGCUCCAAUAGCGUAUAUUAAAGUUGUUGCAGUUAAAAAGCUCGUAGUUGAAUUUCGGGGUUAGCAAGUUGGUCGUGCCUCUGGUAUGCACUGGCUUUGCUGAUUCCUCCUUCUUGAAGAACUGUGAUGCUAUUAAUUUGGUGUUGCAGGGAAACAGGACUGUUACUUUGAAAAAAUUAGAGUGUUUAAAGCAGGCUAACGCUUGAAUACAUUAGCAUGGAAUAAUGAAAUAGGACGUUUGAUCCUAUUUUGUUGGUUUCUAGGAUUGACGUAAUGAUUAAUAGGGAUAGUUGGGGGCAUUAGUAUUCAAUUGUCAGAGGUGAAAUUCUUGGAUUUAUUGAAGACUAACUACUGCGAAAGCAUUUGCCAAGGAUGUUUUCAUUAAUCAAGAACGAAAGUUAGGGGAUCGAAGACGAUCAGAUACCGUCGUAGUCUUAACCAUAAACUAUGCCGACUAGGG
rnacentral:rRNA from 1 species